rnacentral:rRNA from 1 species
CAGUCGAGGGGCAUCGGGGAUGUUAGCUUGCUAAUAUCUGCCGGCGCCCUGCGCACGGGUGAGUAACGCGUAUGCGACCUGCCCGUUACAGGGGGAUAAUCCGGAGAAAUCCGGUCUAAUACCGCAUAAUAUCGUGAAGCUGCAUGGUUUUGCGAUUAAAGGAGCGAUCCGGUGACGGAUGGGCAUGCGUGACAUUAGCUAGUCGGCGGGGUAACGGCCCACCGAGGCGACGAUGUCUAGGGGUUCUGAGAGGAAGGUCCCCACACUGGUACUGAGACACGGACCAGACUCAUACGGGAGGCAGCAGUGAGGAAUAUUGGUCAAUGGGCUUACGCCUGAACCAGCCAAGUCGCGUGAGGGAAGACUGCCCUAUGGGUUAUAAACCUCUUUUGUCAGGGAGCAACGCCGGCUACGUGUAGCCGGACUGAGAGUACCUGAAGAAAAAGCAUCGGCUAACUCCGUGCCAGCAGCCGCGGUAAUACGGAGGAUGCGAGCGUUAUCCGGAUUUAUUGGGUUUAAAGGGUGCGUAGGCGGAAUGCCAAGUCAGCGGUAAAAUCGCGGGGCUCAACCUCGCUCCGCAUUUGAAACUGUUGAUCUUGAGUACUGGAGAGGCAGACGGAAUUCUAGUGUAGCGGUGAAAUGCGUAGAUAUUAGGAGGAACACCAGUGGCGAAGGCGGUCUGCUGGACAGCAACUGACGGUGAGGCGCGAAAGCGUGGGGAGCAAACAGGAUUAGAUACCCUGGUAGUCCACGCUGUAAACGAUGGAUACUAG